AUGGCAGCCAUUCUCUCUGCCACGUGUUCAGUUAUACGAAAUGGCAGCCACCCAGGGGAAGCACUCAUUAAUUGUUUCCUUUGCGGUUUUGCACUUAAGUGGCUGGUGUCAACGUUCUAAUGGGGCACAGGGUGGUCCCCGUUCGGGAGACGAACAGCCAAAGAGGAACAACACGAAACGGGGAAGUUCUGCAACAGGGGCGUACGGACAGCUGAAAAAGCGUAAAAUAAAGUGUCUAGCAAGCGUCCAUUCUGCUACACCGUGGAGAUUUACCCU